UACGUAGGCAGCAAGCGUUGUUCGGAAUUACUGGGCGUAAAGCGUGCGCAGGCGGUUCGUUAAGUCAGAUGUGAAAGCCCCGGGCUCAACCUGGGAACUGCAUUUGAAACUGGCGGGCUUGAGUAUGGCAGAGGGGGGUGGAAUUCCGCGUGUAGCAGUGAAAUGCGUAGAGAUGCGGAGGAACACCGAUGGCGAAGGCAGCCCCCUGGGCCAAUACUGACGCUCAGGCACGAAAGCGUGGGGAGCGAACAGG
rnacentral:rRNA from 1 species